AACGAACGCUGGCGGCAGGCUUAACACAUGCAAGUCGAACGCCCCGCAAGGGGAGUGGCAGACGGGUGAGUAACGCGUGGGAAUCUACCGUGCCCUGCGGAAUAGCUCCGGGAAACUGGAAUUAAUACCGCAUACGCCCUACGGGGGAAAGAUUUAUCGGGGUAUGAUGAGCCCGCGUUGGAUUAGCUAGUUGGUGGGGUAAAGGCCUACCACGGCGACGAUCCAUAGCUGGUCUGAGAGGAUGAUCAGCCACAUUGGGACUGAGACACGGCCCAAACUCCUACGGGAGGCAGCAGUGGGGAAUAUUGGACAAUGGGCGCGAGCCUGAUCCAGCCAUGCCGCGUGAGUGAUGAAGGCCUUAGGGUUGUAAAGCUCUUUCACCGAUGAAGAUAAUGACGGUAGUCGGAGAAGAAGCCCCGGCUAACUUCGUGCCAGCCGCCGCCGUAA
rnacentral:rRNA from 1 species